UCAUACAGCUAGAUAACCAAAGA
rnacentral:miRNA from 1 species